UACGUAGGCAGCGAGCGUUGUUCGGAAUUACUGGGCGUAAAGAGUGUGUAGGCGGUGCUCUAAGUUCGGUGUGAAAUCUCCCGGCUUAACUGGGAGGGUGCGCUAUAGACUGCGGGGCUCGAGUGUGGGAGAGGAAAGUGGAAUUCCUGGUGUAGCGGUGAAAUGCGUAGAUAUCAGGAGGAACACCGGUGGUGUAAACGGCUUUCUGGACCAUAACUGACGCUGAGGCACGAAAGCGUGGGUAGCAAACAGG
rnacentral:rRNA from 1 species